AGCGAACGCUGGCGGCAGGCUUAACACAUGCAAGUCGAACGCGCGUAGCAAUACGUGAGUGGCAGACGGGUGAGGAACACGUGGGAAUAUGCCCUUUGGUUCGGAAUAACUCAGGGAAACUUGAGCUAAUACCGGAUAUCUCCGAGAGGAGAAAGAUUUAUCGCCAAAGGAUUAGCCCGCGUCUGAUUAGCUAGUUGGUGAGGUAACGGCUCACCAAGGCGACGAUCAGUAGCCUGGUCUGAGAGGAUGAUCAGCCACACUGGGACUGAGACACGGCCCAGGACUCCUACGGGAGGCAGCAGUGGGAAUAUUGGACAAGUGGGACGCAAGCCUGAUCCAGCCAUGCCGCGUGAGUGAU
rnacentral:rRNA from 1 species